rnacentral:lncRNA from 1 species
AACCCUAAACUGAACUUUUUCAGCCAGCAUUAGGGUUUUAAACCCUAAACUGAGCUUUCCCAUGCAGUCAGCAUUAGGGUUUUAAACCCUAAACUGAACUUUUCCAAUCAGUCAGCAUUAGGGUUUUAAACCCUAAACUGAACUUUUUCCUUUAAUCAGCAUUAGGGUUUUAAACCCUAAACUGAACUUUUCCUUUUAGUCAGCAUUAGGGUUUUAAACCCUAAACUGAACUUUUUCCAUUCAGCCAGCAUUAGGGUUUUAAACCCUAAACUGAGCUUUCCCAUGCAAUCAGCAUUAGGGUUUUAAACCCUAAACUGAAUUUUUUCUUUAAUCAGCAUUAGGGUUUUAAACGCUAAAACUGAAUUGUUCCUUUAGUCAACAUUAGAGUUUUAAACCCUAAACUGAACCUUUUUCCAUUCAGCCAGCAUUAGGGUUUUAAACCCUAAACUGAGCUUUUCCAUGCAAUCAGCAUUAGGGUUUUAAACCCUAAACUGGAUUUUUCCUUUAAUCAGCACUAGGGUUUUUAAACCCUAAACUGAAUUUUUCCUUUAGUCAGCAUUAGGGUUUUAAACCCUAAACUGAACUUUUUUCCAUUCAGCCAGCAUUAGGGUUUUAAACC